UACAGAGGGGGCAAGCGUUAUUCGGAAUUAUUGGGCGUAAAGGGCGCGUAGGCGGCUUGGCAAGUGGAUGGUGAAAUCCCUCGGCUUAACCGAGGAACUGCCGUCCAAACUGCUUUGCUUGAGACCGGGAGAGGUGAGUGGAAUUCCCAGUGUAGCGGUGAAAUGCGUAGAUAUUGGGAGGAACACCAGUGGCGAAGGCGGCUCACUGGACCGGUACUGACGCUGAUGCGCGAAAGCGUGGGUAGCAAACAGG
rnacentral:rRNA from 1 species